AUAUCAGUCAUGCAUAGCAUAUCAAUAAGCGGAGGAAAAGAAACUAACAAGGAUUCCCUUAGUAACGGCGAGUGAAGCGGGAAGAGCUCAAAUUUGAAAUCUUCAAGGUUUUACCUUGACGAAUUGUAGUUUAAAGAAGUGUUUUCUGUUGAAGUUUUGGUAAAAGUUCUUUGGAAUAGGACAUCAUAGAGGGUGAGAAUCCCGUAUUUGACCAUUACUUUCAGCUUUGUGAUACACUUUCAAAGAGUCGGAUUGUUUGGGAAUGCAGUCCAAAAUGGGUGGUAAAUUUCAUCUAAAGCUAAAUAUAGGCGAGAGACCGAUAGCGGACAAGUACCGUGAGGGAAAGAUGAAAAGAACUUUGAAAAGAGAGUUAAACAGUACGUGAAAUUGUCAAAAGGGAAGCGUUUGACACCAGUGUUGUUUUCUCGAAAAUCAAUUAAAAAGAGUUGGAUUUUGUGUUGUAUUGACUUUAUCAGCUUUCUUCACUCUUUUCCAGCUUUUUUUAAUGCACUUUUCGUUUAACAAGUCAACAUCAGUUUCUUUUGUUGUAAAAAGGUCAUUGGAAGGUGGCUUUCUCUUCGGAGAAAGUGUUUAUAGCCUUUGACUCAUGCAAUCGGAGAGACUGAGGUCUGCAGCGUAGAUCCCUCGGGGUUAGAUACAUUUGUGCUAAGUUAUAGCUUUUCAUAGACAACUUGUUGACUAUGUUUAGUCUUGUAGCUUACUCGCUUAUGCUAUUUUACCUACGCUUAGGAUGUUGAACUCUAUCACACACAG
rnacentral:rRNA from 1 species